rnacentral:lncRNA from 1 species
CAUGGCAGGAGCAAGCAUAUCGGGAUUAAGUAUCACUACAUAAGAGAUCUUGUCAAGAAUGGAGAAAUCGAACUUAAGUUAAAGUGAAUCGGAAGAUCAGAUAGCGGAUAUUCUGACUAAACCGCUGAAGGCAGAAACGUUCGAGAGAUUGAAAUCGAUGCUUGGGUAUACGUAAAUUAUUUUGAUCAAUUUACGGGAGGCUGUUGAAAUUAUAUAAAUUGAUAAAAAAUAAUUAAAAU